rnacentral:lncRNA from 1 species
AUCUGUGAAAAUUACCAAUUCAUUGCUCAUAUACACAUAUCCGGAGGUUGAUGCAUAAUUGCAUAAAUUUAAAUAAUGCGUAACAUAAUAAAUAACAUAAUGACGUAAACAUUUCUUUAUACUGAGGACAAAAAAUUCGAGUUACAUAGAAUUAAAUGGUAUAGUAAUUUAUGAAUGAAAAGAUCUUCAGUUAAGUCCUAUUCUGUUGUACUAUGAAUGACCUAUGAAGUUUCAUACAUGUCAUCACUCUGUGAUGAAAUUUUAACACAGUUUAUAAGAUAUUUUUCACUAUUUCGCAAUUUGGCCUUUAUCAAACAUCUGUAUAUUUUGAGCCAGCGAAUUGUAACUUUACAUUACCUUUUUACUACUUUAAUUAUUACUAUAUACUUUCAUUAAGUUUAUUUUACUUUUAUAUUACUCGUUGUUUAAUUUUAAUAUAUUAAUAUCGGAAAUGAAGUUAUAAUUACACUUUGAUACUUUGAAGAAUUUUACCUUUAGCUAACAAGAAUCGUGCAGAAAUAUAGAUACACGGAGGUGUAUAAAAUGAGAGAAUGUCACGUAGCCGAUGCGAUUCCAUGAAAUUCACUUUCACGGCACACAUACUUAAGAAACGGAACAAGCGGUGGUAUGACAACCUGAGAAUGAUGAAACGGACGCUUCUUACGUAUAUGAUAAAACGCCGUUAUCUUUAUCACAGUUUUUAUACAUGACUUUAUGUUCGUAUAAUACCCGUUCAUCGAAAUUAAUCCAUACCUAUAAGAAGACGCCAACAAAUUCAACUAAAGAUUUAAAAAACAGUUGACGAAUACAGGAAAAAUACGUGUAACUCCUUUUCACAAAUUUACAGAUAUAGCUAUAUAAAUAAGUAUUAUUUUGGAUCCUAGUUUCACGACUAAUGGCUAAAAGUCGAGGGAAUAUUUUAUAUAAAUAAAGUUUCUCGAGUUAUAAAAAUCUACAAGUACCAAAAGUCAGAGAAUCAAAAUGAGAAUCUUACCUAAGCUUAAGCACUGAGAGUAUAGCAUUUUGCAACUGCGAUGUUGCAAACUUUGAAACGUGUUUAAAAAUGAGGCGCAAUUGGUAGUAGUAUUGACCAAACUAAAAUAAUUUUCUGCGUGACUGUGCAAAUUGUACUGUACGUCGCUGUUCCGGAAACAUUCGCUUGUGAUUACGAAAUUUACUGGGAAUUUCACGGUUAACAACCGUUCUUCGAAGGUUACCGUUUAAGGAGUAACUCGUAUCUUCCUAUGGAAAUUCAAGACACACUUACGAUAUUUUCUUCUCUGUCAUUCGGUUGUGUCUUUUCUCCGUAACUUGUAAAUAUCUUAUUAUCUUGUACAAUAUCUGAGUAAUCAAUAGCGAAUUUAAGUCUACAUAAUAGACUGCGUUUCAUUUUGUGAAAGAUAUAUUUCAAUAUCUACGCGUCGAAUAAAAAAAUUAGUAGGUUUUUAAUGCAAUGUGACGAUCAGAAAUGAUGAAAGUUUGACAAAUAUUUUGUUAGAAACCUAGCCAGUUAGAAAUAAUUAUUUUAGUAUUUAACUUGGAUUUAUUAGUCUAAUAAAAGAACAGGAAUGGCUGGGUUAUAAAAAAAAGACAAGAGUGGUCCCACUAUAAAUAGUUCCAGUGUCUAGUGGGUUAAGGAUCAAAAAGUUACACAUGAAUAACUUUACCAAUCUAAAAUCACUUUCUAAACAUCUGAUAUUUACUAGUUUAAAACUAGUUUUAAAAUACGCUCUAUUAACUCUUUAUAGUCGAAUGUUCUUUUACCUAUAGAAGUGCAAUUUUUCGAAUAAGUAUGACGAAUAUUAAUUGACAUAAAUAGCAAAUAACGAUAUAAUGAUAGGACGUAAUAAGAAGAGAGAUAAGAUUCAUACAACAUAGAUAUACAGAUAUAAAACUUGACGUUGUAUAACAUCAGAUAUGAUUAAGAUUGAAACAUUGUAAAUAACUAAUCGAACUGGGUGGGUCGUAUUUGAUGAUACAAAUAAAAAGGAAAUUUCUAUGAAAGUCUCAAGAAGUUUUAUCUUGAGAGUUCUCGAAUAAACAUUUCACGAUCAGAGUUUUAUUUUUCAGAGAAAUUAAUUUCGAAAAUUUAAUCAUUGCACGUAUACUCUUACCCCGAUGUUAAAGGUUUAACGUUCAAAGAAUUAAAGAUAUAAACAUUGUCAAAGUCCUAAGUAUAAUAUAUACUCUAUACAGAGUAUAUAUUACAGAGUAUAUAUUACAGAGUAUAUAUACAGAGAAUAUAUACUCUAUACAGAGUAUAUAUUAUUCUAAUAUUAGAGAGUAUUGUCUGAAUAUUGAUUUCUGUACUGACAGAUAAUUUAUCUAUCAACUUAAGUGUUUGUUCGCCUUUGAUGUAACAAAAAUUCAAAUAUAGUCACUCCAAGAUUUACAUGUAUAUACAUUAUAUGAAUUCUUCGACGAUUAAACUUCUACUUAGUUUUCAUCCACUCGCAUUCAAAGACAAUCUCAAUAGCUGGCACUGAUAAAAUUCCACUAAUAAAUCUCUCAAUACCUACGA